rnacentral:rRNA from 1 species
CAGGAGGGUGCGAGCGUUGUCCGGAAUCACUGGGCGUAAAGGGCGCGUAGGCGGCUUUUCAAGCGUGCGGUGAAAGCUCGGGGCUUAACUCCGAGUCUGCCGUGCGAACUGGGAGGCUUGAGUCUGGUAGAGGUCGAUGGAAUUCCGGGUGUAGCGGUGGAAUGCGUAGAGAUCCGGAAGAACACCGGUGGCGAAGGCGGUCGACUGGGCCAGUACUGACGCUGAGGCGCGACAGCGUGGGGAGCAAACAGGAUUAGAUACCCUGGUAGUCCACGCCGUAAACGAUGGGCACUAGGUCCUUGGGGGGAGCGACCCCUUGAGGGCCGGCGCUAACGCAUUAAGUGCCCCGCCUGGGGAGUACGGCCGCAAGGCUG